GACGAACGCUGGCGGCGUGCUUAACACAUGCAAGUCGAACGAAGUGGCGCACGGGUGAGUAACGCGUAAUCAACCUGCCCUUCAGGGGGGGACAACAGUUGGAAACGACUGCUAAUACCGCAUACUGAAGGAGGGGAUUGCGUUUGAUUAGCUAGUAGGAUGGGUAACGGCCCACCAAGGCGAUGAUCAGUAGCACGUCUGAGAGGAUGAACGGCCACAGUGGGAAUGAGACUCGGCCCAGACUUCUACGGGAGGCAGCAGGGGGGAAUCUUCCGCAAUGGACGAAAGUCUGACGGAGGAACGCCGCGUGAGUUAUGAUGGGGUUGGGGUUGUAAAGCUCUGUGCAGCGGGACCCGGUACCGGAACAGAAAGCCACGGCUAACUACGUGCCAGCAGCCGCGGUAAUAC
rnacentral:rRNA from 1 species